CCUACGGGGGGCAGCAGUGGGGAAUCUUGCGCAAUGGGCGAAAGCCUGAUGCAGCGACGCCGCGUGAGUGAUGAAGGGCUUCGGAUCGUAAACCUCUGUCAGCAGGGAAGAACGAUCGAUGUAGUAAUCAGCAGUGAAUUGACGGUACCUGCAUAGGAAGCACCGGCUAACUCCGUGCCAGCAGCCGCGGUAAUACGGAGGGGGCGAGCGUUAAUCGGAAUUACUGGGCGUAAAGCGAGCGGAGGCGGUAUGUUAAGUCAAAGGUGAAAGCCCUGGGCUCAACGUGGGAACUGCAUUAGAAACUGGCAAACUUGAGUGUGGUAGAGGAGAGUGGAAUUCCAGGUGUAGGAGUGAAAUCCGUAGAGAUCUGGAGGAACAUCAGUGGCGAAGGCGACUAUCUGGUACAUAACUGACGCUGAGGAGCGAAAGCGUGGGUAGCAAACAGGAUUAGAUACCCCGGUAGUC
rnacentral:rRNA from 1 species